GUGUCUUCAGGAGUUCUCUUCAAGCACUUCACGAGGCAUCACACUGAGAGCUUUUGUGAAGUGUUUGGGGGAACUCUUGGUGUCAC
rnacentral:pre_miRNA from 1 species